CAAAGAAGGAGCUGCACAUUCACGAUUUUUCUUGGGGCUUUUGGACACCAAAAUCUGACCUUUUAGCACACAAGUAAGAUUUGAACUCGGAGGCGUACUGGAAAAAACCUCCUGAUGAGCUUUUGUUUAGGAUUUCUAUUAUAUUUUGGCUAUGCCCUUGGUUUUGGGUUGUACUUUUGGAAUUGAAAUGUAACUUUUGGGGCGUGAGGUAUAUUUGGAAAUUAUGAUGUACGUUGAACACCCGACGUGCGGGCUGGAUAAUGGAUGACUAUUGUUAAGCUUGAA